rnacentral:rRNA from 1 species
GAUGAACGCUGGCGGCGUGCCUAAUACAUGCAAGUCGAGCGAACGGACGAGAAGCUUGCUUCUCUGAUGUUAGCGGCGGACGGGUGAGUAGCACGUGGAUAACCUACCUAUAAGACUGGGAUAACUUCGGGAAACCGGAGCUAAUACCGGAUAAUAUUUUGAACCGCAUGGUUCAAAAGUGAAAGACGGUUUUGCUGUAACUUAUAGAUGGAUCCGCGCUGCAUUAGCUAGUUGGUAAGGUAACGGCUUACCAAGGCAACGAUGCCUAGCCGACCUGAGAGGGUGAUCGGCCACACUGGAACUGAGACACGGUCCAGACUCCGACGGGAGGCAGCAGUAGGGAAGCUUCCGCAAUGGGCGGAAGCCUGACGGAGCAACGCCGCGUGAGUGAUGAAGGGCUUCGGAUCGUAAAACUCUGUUAUUAGUGAAGAACACAUGUGUAAGUAACUGUGCACAUCUUGACGGUACCUAAUCAGAAAGCCACGGCUAACUACGUG